rnacentral:rRNA from 1 species
AAAUUGAAGAGUUUGAUCAUGGCUCAGAUUGAACGCUGGCGGCAGGCCUAACACAUGCAAGUCGAACGGUAACAGGAAGAAGCUUGCUUCUUUGCUGACGAGUGGCGGACGGGUGAGUAAUGUCUGGGAAACUGCCUGAUGGAGGGGGAUAACUACUGGAAACGGUAGCUAAUACCGCAUAACGUCGUAAGACCAAAGAGGGGGACCUUCGGGCCUCUUGCCAUCGGAUGUGCCCAGAUGGGAUUAGCUAGUAGGUGGGGUAACGGCUCACCUAGGCGACGAUCUCUAGCUGGUCUGAGAGGAUGACCAGCCACACUGGAACUGAGACACGGUCCAGACUCCUACGGGAGGCAGCAGUGGGGAAUAUUGCACAAUGGGCGCAAGCCUGAUGCAGCCAUGC